UUGUGACACCAGAUCUAAUUAGUGGCACUUGUCAGCGUAUCCACUGUUAGCGUAACACACCCGCUUUAAGGACACUGACUGCUAUUCAAUCUAUAACAGUGAAAAAAAGUUUUUUUUUUUUAAAUCCAAGCUAUUGUGACACCAGAUCUAAUUAGUGGCACUUGUCAGCGUAUCCACUGUUAGCGUAACACACCCGCUUUAAGGACACUGACUGCUAUUCAAUCUAUAACAGUGAAAAAAGUUUUUUUUUUUAAAUCCAAACUAUUGUGACACCAGAUCUAAUUAGUGGCACUUGUCAGCGUAUCCACUGUUAGCGUAACACACCCGCUUUAAGGACACUGACUGCUAUUCAAUCUAUAACAGUAAAAAAAGUUUUUUUGUUUUUAAAUCCAAGCUAUUGUGACACAGGAUCUAAUUAGUGGCACUUGUCAGCGUAUCCACUGUUAGCGUAACACACCCGCUUUAAGGACACUGACUGCUAUUCAAUCUAUAACAGUAAAAAAAGUUUUUUGUUUUUAAAUCCAAGCUAUUGUGAC